rnacentral:lncRNA from 10 species
CCUGCUGCCAAUAUCAGAGUGAUCCCUACCAAUGUGAUGAGUGUGGGGAAGGCCAUAGAAAGGACCGGCGAAUGCUGGCAUUGAUGUGUGUUAUUUUAACAUUUCUGAAAUCCUGUUCUUAGUCUGCACACCUUGUCCGAGGCUCCGAUGUUAUCCAGGUCACCAGGUAUGCCCCUGGGCUCCUGCCGCAGCUGAUCGGGUGCUAGGUGCUGAGGAUACACGUCUGGGAGAAAGCAAUUGGAAGAAAUGCAAAGCUCUUCAAAGGAGACCUAUAAAGUCAUCUUUGUUUUGUUCAUUCUUCUCAUGUUUCUGCAUUCUGGGCAUUCUCCUAAAUUGGGGAGAAACCAAAAUGCCCAGAAGUCAAAUUCUGCAACUGUCAUCAUGCAAAAUGUCAAAUGAGAGAACCAAAGUAUGCUGGAUUCUAUAUUGUUAGGAAGGGAUGGUUAAUUUGAUUGACUCUUGGGAGCUAUUUUUCUAGCAUUAAGUAAUUCUAGGGAACCCUUCUGUGAUCAUCUCUGAGUAAAUAAAGAAGUGAAAUUGCAAUUCAAAUA